UACGAAGGGGGCGAGCGUUGUUCGGAGUUACUGGGCGUAAAGGGUGUGUAGGCGGUUCUUUAAGUUUGGUGUGAAAUCUCCCGGCUCAACCGGGAGGGUGCGCCGAAUACUGAGGGACUUGGAGUGCGGGAGAGGAAAGUGGAAUUCCUGGUGUAGCGGUGAAAUGCGUAGAUAUCAGGAGGAACACCGGUGGUGUAGACGGCUUUCUGGACCGUAACUGACGCUGAGACACGAAAGCGUGGGUAGCAAACAGG
rnacentral:rRNA from 1 species